rnacentral:rRNA from 1 species
AGUGGCGAACGGGUGAGGAACGCGUGGACAACCUACCCCGGCGGUGGGGGAUACCCGCCAGAAAUGGCGGCUAAUACCGCGUACGGUUCUCCGGCGAAGGGCUGGGGAAAGAAAGCAGUAAUGCGCGCUGGGAGGGGUCUGCGGCCGAUUAGCUUGUUGGCGGGGUAACGGCCCACCAAGGCGAUGAUCGGUAGCUGGUCUGAGAGGAUGAUCAGCCACACGGGGACUGAGACACGGCCCCG